GGGAAUUUUGCCCAAUGGGCGCAAGCCUGAUGCAGCCAUGCCGGUGUAUGAAGAAGCCUUCGGGUUGUAAAGUACUUUCAGCAGUGAGGAAGGUGGGUAUGUUAAUAGCAUACUCAUUUGACGUUAGCUGCAGAAGAAGCACCGGCUAAUUCCGUGCCAGCAGCCGCGGUAAUACGGAGGGUGCGAGCGUUAAUCGGAAUUACUGGGCGUAAAGCGCAUGCAGGUGGUUUGUUAAGUCAGAUGUGAAAGCCCGGGGCUCAACCUCGGAAUUGCAUUUGAAACUGGCAAACUAGAGUACUGUAGAGGGGGGUAGAAUUUCAGGUGUAGCGGUGAAAUGCGUAGAGAUCUGAAGGAAUACCGGUGGCGAAGGCGGCCCCCUAGACAGAUACUGACACUCAGAUGCGAAAGCGUGGGGAGCAAACAGGAUUAGAUACCCUGGUAGUCCACGCCGUAAACGAUGUCUACUUGGAGGUUGUGGCCUUGAGCCGUGGCUUUCGGAGCUAACGCGUUAAGUAGACCGCCUGGGGAGUACGGUCGCAAGAUUAAAACUCAAAUGAAUUGACGGGGGCCCGCACAAGCGGUGGAGCAUGUGGUUUAAUUCGAUGCAACGCGAAGAACCUUACCUACUCUUGACAUCUACAGAAGCCAGCGGAGACGCAGGUGUGCCUUCGGGAACUGUAAGACAGGUGCUGCAUGGCUGUCGUCAGCUCGUGUUGUGAAAUGUUGGGUUAAGUCCCGCAACGAGCGCAACCCUUAUCCUUGUUUGCCAGCACUUCGGGUGGGAACUCCAGGGAGACUGCCGGUGAUAAACCGGAGGAAGGUGGGGACGACGUCAAGUCAUCAUGGCCCUUACGAGUAGGGCUACACACGUGCUACAAUGGCGCAUACAGAGGGCGGCCAACUUGCGAAAGUGAGCGAAUCCCAAAAAGUGCGUCGUAGUCCGGAUUGGAGUCUGCAACUCGACUCCAUGAAGUCGGAAUCGCUAGUAAUCGUGGAUCAGAAUGCCACGGUGAAUACGUUCCCGGGCCUUGUACACACCGCCCGUCACACCAUGGGAGUGGGCUGCAAAAGAAGUGGGUAGUUUAACCUUCGGGAGGACGCUCACCACUUUGUGGUUCAUGACUGGGGUGAAGUCGUAACAAGGUAACCG
rnacentral:rRNA from 1 species